rnacentral:rRNA from 1 species
UGCGGAGGGAUCAUUACUGAGUUACCGCUCUAUAACCCUUUGUGAACAUACCUACAACUGUUGCUUCGGCGGGUAGGCCGUCCCCUGAAAAGGACGCCUCCCGGCCCGGACCGGACCCCCCGUGGGGCCGGACUCGGCGCCCGCCGGAGGAUAACCAAACGCUAUUUUAACGACGUUUCUUCUGAGUGGCAUAAGCAAAAUAAUCAAAACUUUUAACAACGGAUCUCUUGGUUCUGGCAUCGAUGAAGAACGCAGCGAAAUGCGAUAAGUAAUGUGAAUUGCAGAAUUCAGUGAAUCAUCGAAUCUUUGAACGCACAUUGCGCCCGCCAGCAUUCUGGCGGGCAUGCCUGUUCGAGCGUCAUUUCAACCCUCAAGCUCUGCUUGGUGUUGGGGCUCUACGGUCGACGUAGGCCCUCAAAGGUAGUGGCGGACCCUCCCGGAGCCUCCUUUGCGUAGUAACAUUUCGUCUCGCACUGGGAUCCGGAGGGACUCUUGCCGUAAAACCCCCCAAUUUUUCAAGGUUGACCUCGGAUCAGGUAGGAAUACCCGCUGAACUUAAGCAUAUCAAUAA